rnacentral:rRNA from 1 species
UACGAAGGGUGCAAGCGUUACUCGGAAUUAUUGGGUUUAAAGGGUGCGUAGGCGGUUCUAUAAGUCAGUGGUGAAAUCCGGCAGCUCAACUGUCGAUGUGCCAUUGAUACUGCAGAACUUGAGUACAGACGAGGUAGGCGGAAUUGACGGUGUAGCGGUGAAAUGCUUAGAUAUCGUCAAGAACACCGAUAGCGAAGGCAGCUUACUAGACUGUAACUGACGCUGAUGCACGAAAGUGUGGGGAUCAAACAGG